UUUACGAAUUUACCCUGUAUAAGAUUUAUACACAGUAAAACGGAUUCAUUUGGGGUUCGGAUCCCAUUGGGAGCUGGGUGUCUUGGUGCUGGAAACACGAGCACUUGCUAAGCCGUUUUCAGUUAAGUCUGCAGCUUGUCUGAGUCUGUGUUGCAGCAGAUUAACUUAUCUAGCUCAACAAGACAGGGUUCUGGAGGCCCAAACAAGCAGAGAAAAGGGGCUUAGAGGUAGUCUCAGCACAUCAGGUGACAGUCCGAAGGGAGUCUCUGUGACCAAACCCGAGACACCAACUCCAGGACACAGCCCCAAAGAUCAGAGCUGCCAGACCUCAACAAUCUGUCAAUGACAGCGUGCAGAAACUGGAGUCCCCCAGAUGGACCUGAUCCUGACUGACCAUCAAGAAAAGUUCAUCUGUCUUAUUGGGAGUGGUGAGAAUUGUAUGUCUUCACUGAGCUGUUCAUCCACAACAGAUCUAAAAGCAGAUGAAGUUAGCUGAGAACCUAUCAUUCUGGAAGGAAGCAUUUCAAGAAAAACUGAUUCUCAACAGUAAGAGACACCUGACUGGCAAGUGUAGGAAUCUAAGAGCUUUAAAACAACACAGUAAAAAAUAGAAAGCAGCAGCAGUCCCCCAGGCUGCUCCCCUCCUGCCCUGGAGCAGCAUCAACCAUAAAGGGCCCCCCCAGACCACCUAAGAUUUAGCCAGGGGUAUUUUUAGUACAAGUCAUGGACAGGUCACAGGAUGUGAAUUUUUGUUUUAUUUCCCAUUAUCUGUCCAUGAUUUGUACUAUAAAUACCCUGACUAAAUCUUAGCCUAACAGCCACUGAUGGACUUAUCCUUAGAGCCCUGCACGGAUACAAAAUUUAUGUCCACAGAUGCAGAUAUCCGCAGAUAUAAAUCAGCAUCCCUGGAGUUGCAGGGCUGUACUGGGAACCACAAUGUCCAAAGCAGCAGCCUGCUGCCACACCCAGGACUCAGCACCCCAUGCCAGCAGCUCCUCCAGCAUGGCUAUACUGCCCCUAGCCCGACCCAAUGCACUAACGCAACCAGGGACAGCUGCCAGUGAGCAGGGUUGGGGCCAGUACAGCCAUGCCGGAGGAGCUGCCGGCUCGGGGCGCUGGCUCCUGGGAGUGGCGGCCUGAUAGGCUGCUGCUUUCGCCACUGUGGUUCCCAGUGGAUCCCUACAGCGCCACACAUAGAUACAAAAUUUAUAUCUGCAGAUAUAAAUUUUGUAUCUGUGCAGGGCUCUACCGAUCCUCCAUGAACUUAUCUAGUUCUUUUUUGAAUUCUCAAAAAGAAAAGGAGUACUUGUGGCACCUUAAUUGUUAGUCUCUAAGGUGCCACAAGUACUCCUUUUCUUUUUGAGAAUAUAGACUAACAUGGCUGCUACUCUGAAACCUUUUUGAAUUCUGUUACAGUUUUGGCCUUCAUAACAUCUCCAACAACAAGUUCCACAAGUUGACUAUGUGGUGUGAAAUACUUCCUUUCGUAUGUUUUAAACCUGCUGCCUAUUAAUUUCAUUAAGUGACCCCUAGUUCUUGUGUUAUGUGAAGGAGUAAAUAACAUUUCCUUAUUCACUUUCUCUGCACCAGUCAAGAAUUUAUAGACCUCUAUGAUAUCUUCUCUGAUUCAUCUCUUUUCCAAGAUGAAAAGUCCCAGUCUUUUUAAUCUCUCCUCAUAUGGAAGCCGUUCCAUAUCUCUAAUAAUUUUUGUUGCUCUUCUCUGUACCUUUUCCAAUUCUAAUACAUCUUUUUUGAGAUGGGGAGACCAGAUCUACAUGCAAUAUUCAAGAUGUGGGCAUACCAUGGAUUUAUACAGUGGCAUUAUGAUAUUUCUGUUUUAUCUAUCCCUUUCUUAACAGUUCCUAACAUUGUUACUUUUGACCGUUGCUGCAUGUUGAGUAGAUGUUUUCAGAGAACUAUCCACAGUGACUGCAAGAUCUCUUUCUUGAGUGGUAACAGCUAAUUUAUACCCCACCAUUUUGUAUGGAUAGUUCGGAUUAUGUUUUCUAAGGUGCAUUACUUUGCCUUUAUCCACACUGAAUUUCAUCUGCCGCUGUGUUGUGAGAUCCCUUUGUAAUUCUUCACAGUCUGCUUUGGACUCCACUAUCUUGAGUAAUUUUGUACCAUCUGCAAAUUUUCCACCUUACCAUUUACCCCUUUUUCCACAUCAUUUAUAAAUAUGUUGAACAGCACUGGUCCCAGUACAGACUCCUGGGGGACACCAAAAUUUACCUCUCUCCAUUCUGAGAGCUGUCCAUUUAUUCUUACGCUUUGUUUUCUAUCUUUUAACCAGUUAUCAAUAGGUGGGAGGACCUUCCCUCUUAUCCAAUGACUGCUUAUCCUACAACAUGUUACAGAAAACUUAAAUAUCCAGCAUCUGCUGUCUCACUCUGAAGCAAGCAACAACUAUAUAUAACCUUAAAGGAUUAUUCUCAUCUACUAGCCCAUAUUAAGCAUUUCCUUUUCAUUAAAAAGUAUUAAGACUUUUUUUUAAAUCAAAAUUAUAAGUAAAAUGUUAACAAGUAGAUAUGGUACCUGGGAUGGUAAAAUAUAUAAAUUUUCAAGCUGUUAUAAUAAAAUGAGGUUUUUACACAGUGCUUAAAAUGAUUUCUGGUUCAUUCUGUUUCUCCCUUACUCAGUUUGCAGAUUCUUAAGAUGUAUUUCAUGACAAGUCUUGUAAGGCUGCACAUGGAAUUUAACAGGAAAUAUCAUAUCACAGCCUCAAGAACAAUUUAAUAAACACAGAAAAGUCUCUUGUAAAUUAAAGCUGAAAUAAUCUAACAGAUUCUGGAAUGCAAGUGAAGAAGUUUGUUCAAGGCAGGGUUUCAUAUUUACUAAGAAAGGUUGGAUAUAUUAAUUAGUCCUCUAUUGUUAUUCUUUACUCUCUCCAUUUUCUGUGGCAACAACAAAAGAAUUCCUAACCAGAAAUUGUUUCCUAACUAUAUUUUGAUGUUACGUUGGUUCCAUAUUAACAAAUAUUGAACUACUAGGUGAGGAAAAGCGACAUUCAAGCAGGAUAUGAUUUAGGCCAAGAUUUUAAAAAAUGGCUAGCAAUUCUGAAAGCCUCAAUUUUCUGAGAACCUACUCUCUGAAAAUCAGGCCCCUUUCAUACGUCUCAAGUUGGUUACAGAAAAAUUGAGGCACCCAGAAUCACUAGUCACUUCUGCACACCUUAGUCUUAACUUUGACGGUAUGUUAGAAAGCUAUAGUCUUCAUUAAGUACUCUCAGAAGAACAUUUUUUUCCCCCCAAAAGGAGGCAAAACCGUUAACCUCAUCCCUCAAAUUAAUUCUUACCCCUUCCUCUAACCAUAAUCACUGUACUGAAGAAUCUCAGCAGUUCACAGAUGUUGGGACUCUUAUUUGAUCUUUGGCUGUGAACAGUGCAGCAUAGAAAAAACAGAGUUAACUCUGGUGAACGAGGACUUAUACAGAGUUUCAAAGCACUAUUUUUGUGACAUUUCUCCAUACAUUUAUUCUUAUUUUUUGUCCUCUUAUGUACCACUCCUUUAAAAAUACUUCAAUCAUUUUUGCAAGCCAUGGAAUGUGGUGGAAAAAACAAAUGCAUGUUUAUGUAAUCUCUGCAUUUUGUUUUAACCACAUCUUCAUGAAGUAGUUGUUAAAUUACAAUAGAGCCCUACACUGUUUCAAAGACAGACACUUCUUAAAAAAUGCUGCUUAAUUUGCUUCAUUUCUCCAGAACAUACCUCUCUGUUCUUAUUACCAGGUAUCCCUAGACUUCUACAAUAAUCUCUUUGGUAGUGAAACAGUUCAAUCACCUUCAAUGAAGAUAUUUAUAAAAAUCAUUUCAGCAUUUCAUCUCUCUCAAAACUCCCAGAAAUAUCA